rnacentral:rRNA from 1 species
GACGAACGCUGGCGGCGUGCCUAAUACAUGCAAGUCGAGCGCAGGAAAUCGACGGAACCCUUCGGGGGGAAGUCGAUGGAAUGAGCGGCGGACGGGUGAGUAACACGUAAAGAACCUGCCCUCAGGUCUGGGAUAACCACGAGAAAUCGGGGCUAAUACCGGAUGGGUCAUCGGACCGCAUGGUCCGAGGAUGAAAGGCGCUUCGGCGUCGCCUGGGGAUGGCUUUGCGGUGCAGUAGCUAGUUGGUGGGGUAAUGGCCCACCAAGGCGACGAUGCAUAGCCGACCUGAGAGGGUGAUCGGCCACACUGGGACUGAGACACGGCCCAGACUCCUACGGGAGGCAGCAGUAGGGAAUCUUCCACAAUGGACGAAAGUCUGAUGGAGCAACGCCGCGUGAACGAUGAAGGCCUUCGGGUCGUAAAGUUCUGUUGUAAGGGAAGAACAAGUGCCGCAGGCAAUGGCGGCACCUUGACGGUACCUUGCGAGAAAGCCACGGCUAACUACGUGCCAGCCGCCGCAGUAA